rnacentral:rRNA from 1 species
CAGGGAUGAACGCUAGCUACAGGCUUAACACAUGCAAGUCGAGGGGAAACGAUAUUGGAAGCUUGCUUCCGAUAGGCGUCGACCGGCGCACGGGUGAGUAACGCGUAUCCAACCUGCCCAUCACUUGGGGAUAACCUUGCGAAAGUAAGACUAAUACCCAAUGACGUCUCUAGAAGACAUCUGAAAGAGAUUAAAGGAUUUAUCGGUGAUGGAUGGGGAUGCGUCUGAUUAGCUUGUUGGCGGGGUAACGGCCCACCAAGGCGACGAUCAGUAGGGGUUCUGAGAGGAAGGUCCCCCACAUUGGAACUGAGACACGGUCCAAACUCCUACGGGAGGCAGCAGUGAGGAAUAUUGGUCAAUGGACGAGAGUCUGAACCAGCCAAGUAGCGUGCAGGAAGACGGCCCUAUGGGUUGUAAACUGCUUUUAUAAGGGAAUAAAGUGAGUCUCGUGAGACUUUUUGCAUGUACCUUAUGAAUAAGGACCGGCUAAUUCCGUG